GACGAACGCUGGCGGCGUGCCUAAUACAUGCAAGUCGAACGCUUCUUUCCUCCCGAGUGCUUGCACUCAAUUGGAAAGAGGAGUGGCGGACGGGUGAGUAACACGUGGGUAACCUACCCAUCAGAGGGGGAUGACACUUGGAAACAGGUGCUAAUACCGCAUAACAGUUUAUGCCGCAUGGCAUAAGAGUGAAAGGCGCUUUCGGGUGUCGCUGAUGGAUGGACCCGCGGUGCAUUAGCUAGUUGGUGAGGUAACGGCUCACCAAGACCGCGAUGCAUAGCCGACCUGAGAGGGUGAUCGGCCACACUGGGACUGAGACACGGCCCAGACUCCUACGGGAGGCAGCAGUAGGGAAUCUUCGGCAAUGGACGAAAGUCUGACCGAGCAACGCCGCGUGAGUGAAGAAGGUUUUCGGAUCGUAAAACUCUGUUGUUAGAGAAGAACAAGGACGUUAGUAACUGAACGUCCCCUGACGGUAUCUAACCAGAAAGCCACGGCUAACUACGUG
rnacentral:rRNA from 1 species